CAACAGCUAGGCUGAGGUAGGAAGGUAUUUUUACAACAGCUAGGCUGAGGUAGGAAGGUAUUUUUACAACAGCUAGGCUGAGGUAGGAAGGUAUUUUUACAACAGCUAGGCUGAGGUAGGAAGGUAUUUUUACAACAGCUAGGCUGAGGUAGGAAGGUAUUUUUACAACAGCUAGGCUGAGGUAGGAAGGUAUUUUUACAACAGCUAGGCUGAGGUAGGAAGGUAUUUUUACAACAGCUAGGCUGAGGUAGGAAGGUAUUUUUACAACAGCUAGGCUGAGGUAGGAAGGUAUUUUUACAACAGCUAGGCUGAGGUAGGAAGGUAUUUUUACAACAGCUAGGCUGAGGUAGGAAGGUAUUUUUACAACAGCUAGGCUGAGGUAGGAAGGUAUUUUUACAACAGCUAGGCUGAGGUAGGAAGGUAUUUUUACAACAGCUAGGCUGAGGUAGGAAGGUAUUUUUACAACAGCUAGGCUGAGGUAGGAAGGUAUUUUUACAACAGCUAGGCUGAGGUAGGAAGGUAUUUUUACAACAGCUAGGCUGAGGUAGGAAGGUAUUUUUACAACAGCUAGGCUGAGGUAGGAAGGUAUUUUUACAACAGCUAGGCUGAGGUAGGAAGGUAUUUUUACAACAGCUAGGCUGAGGUAGGAAGGUAUUUUUACAACAGCUAGGCUGAGGUAGGAAGGUAUUUUUACAACAGCUAGGCUGAGGUAGGAAGGUAUUUUUACAACAGCUAGGCUGAGGUAGGAAGGUAUUUUUACAACAGCUAGGCUGAGGUAGGAAGGUAUUUUUACAACAGCUAGGCUGAGGUAGGAAGGUAUUUUUACAACAGCUAGGCUGAGGUAGGAAGGUAUUUUUACAACAGCUAGGCUGAGGUAGGAAGGUAUUUUUACAACAGCUAGGCUGAGGUAGGAAGGUAUUUUUACAACAGCUAGGCUGAGGUAGGAAGGUAUUUUUACAACAGCUAGGCUGAGGUAGGAAGG